rnacentral:lncRNA from 1 species
CUGAAAAUUGGGUUGGCGCUGGCAUGCAGCCAUUUACCGCCAAUUCUUUCGUUUCCCUCAUCCAACUUGGUUCCCAAAUGUGCACUCGGUUCCCGAAUGCGCGCGCGAAGAGCUGGACCUACUAUGAAAAGUACUCUACGCUUUUAGAAACAAAAUCUACUCAUUCUCCCCUGCCACUCCUAUCACUGCUAAGUGGGCCCAUUUGCCACUAGGCCCACACGUCAGUGAUAUCUGGCCUACAUAACUGCCGGCGGUGUGGACUCCUGCUUUCAGAGUUCGCUUAUGGCCCCUUCUUCUCUGCCCCCUUUCAAUGCGAAAUCUAUCUCCCCCAACACGUCUCAUCGCAAUCCGGCACGUGCGCCUCGCUCCCUCUGCUCCGCUUCCCUUCCCA